GCCCGCCUAGCUCAAUCGGAUAGAGCGUCAGACUCUUACCGUCUGAAAGCGGGUGUAAUCUGAAGGCUGCGAGUUCGACCCUCGCGGUGGGCU